rnacentral:rRNA from 1 species
GGGUGUGAUCAUACCAACGUUAAUGCACCAGAUUCUAUCAGAACUUCAUAAUUAAGCACACUUGGGUUAGAGUAGUAUUGGGAUGGGUGACCUCCCAGGAAGUACCAGUGUUGCAUCCU